CCAGGAGUAGCUGAUAAGCUCUUACUGCUUGGACUACAAGCUCAUUUGUAGUGCUCUUUUUAAAGCCAUAAAAUACAAAAGUGAUAGUUAGUAGCAAAACAUUGGAAGUCUGAAAAGAUGAAAAAUGGCGAAUACUAAAACUUCAGUGAGAAAAUAAAAAAUAAAUGGGCUAAACUUU
rnacentral:ncRNA from 12 species